rnacentral:rRNA from 1 species
AGUUCGAUCAUGGCUCAGAUUGAACGCUGGCGGGAUGUACCACGGCGGCAAGUCGAACGGCAGCACGGACUUCGGUCUGGUGGCGAGUGGCGAACGGGUGAGUAAUGUAUCGGAACGUGCCUAGUAGCGGGGAUAACUGCGCGAAAGCGUAGCUAAUACCGCUGUCACGCCCUUCCAGGAAAGCGGAGGACCUUCGGGCCUCGCACUAUUAGAGCGGCCGAUAUCGGAUUAGCUAGUUGGUGGGGGUAACGGCUCACCAAGGCGACGAUCCGUAGCUGUGGUUUGAGAAGGACGACCUUCACACUGGGACAGAGACUUUGGCCCAGACUCCUACGGGAGGCAGCAGUGGGGAAUUUUGAGACGAUAAGGGGGAAACCUGAUCCAGCCAUCCCGCGUGUGCAUUGAAGGCCUUCGGGUUGUAAAGCACUUUUUGGCAGGAAAGAAACGGCACGGGAUAAUACCCCGUGCAACUGACGGUACCUGCAGAGAUAAGCACCGGCUAACUACGUGCCAGCAGCCGCGGUAAUACGUAGGGUGCAAGCGUUAAUCAGGGCUACUGGGCGUAAAGCGUGCGCAGGCGGUUCGGAAGAAGAUGGCAGAAAUCGAAGCUUAACUUUGGAACUGCAUUUUUAACUACCGAAGCUACAGUGUGUCAGAGGGAGGUGGAAUUCCGCGUGUAGCAGUGAAAUGCGUAGAUAUGCGGAGGAACACCGAUGAAAAAAAGCCGAAGGCAACCUCCUGGGAUAACACUGACGCUCAUGCGAAAGCGUGGGGAGCAACGGAUUAGAUACCUGGUAGUCCACGCCCUAAACGAUGUCGCUUCGCUGUUGGGGCCUUCGGGCUUGGUAGCGCAGCUAACGCGUGAAGUUGACCGCCUAGGAGGAGUACGGUCGCAAGAUUAAAACUCAAAGGAAUUGACGGGGAUUACUGGCGGUGGAUGAUAGUUAAUUCGAUGCAACGCGAAAAACCUUACCUACCCUUGACAUAUGCUGGAAUCCCGAAGAUUUGGAGUGCUCGCAAAGAGAACCGGAACACAGGUGCUGCAUGGCUGUCGUCAGCUCGUGUCGUGAGAUGUUGGGUUAAGUCCGCAACAGGCGCAACCCUUGUCAUUAGUUGCUACGAAAGGGCACUCUAAUGAGACUGCCGGUGACAAACCGGAGGAAGGUGGGGAUGACGUCAGAAUCCUCAUGGCCCUUAUGGGUAGGGCUUCACACGUCAUACAAUGGUCGGGACAGAGGGUCGCCAACCCGCGAGGGAGCCAAUCCCCGAAACCCGAUCGUAGUCCGGAUCGCAGUCUGCAACUCGACUGCGUGAAGUCCGGAAUCGCUAGUAAUAUCGCGAAUCAACAUGUCGCGGUGAGGCCACGUUCCCGGGUCUUGUACACACCGCCCGUCACACCAUGGGAGUGGGUUUUACCAGAAGUAGUUCGCUAACCGUAAGGAGGGCGAUUACCACGGUAGGAUUCAUGACUGGGGUGAAGUCGUAACAAGGUAG